GAAAUUUUUAUUUAGAAAUUUUAUUGAAAGUGGAUUUUGAAUGAGUAGAGUUUUGUUGGAAGAUUAUUUGUUUAUUAUAUAGAUUAUUAGUAUUGUGAGGGAAUUUAGUUUAAAAUUUUAUUAAAUAAGAGAUUAGGGGUUUUACCUUUUGCAUUAGGGUUAAUUAAAGAUUUUUGAAGGAUUUUAAUUUCUUGAAGAAUUUGUGAGCUAAGUAUUAUUAUAAUAAUAUGUAUUAUAAUAUUAUAAAAAUAAUAGUUUAGUGGUGAAAUAUUAUUCAAACUGUUUUUUAUCUAGUUUUUAAAGAAAAUAAUUAUUGAUGGUAACAUUAGUUUUAUAGUUGGGGAUUAGCUUAACUAUAUUAGUAUAUAAGAUUUAAAAUUAAUCAUUUGUUGGGUUGAUAGUAUUUAUUAAUAUAGUGUUAUAAAAGAGUGAGUUAAGGUUUAAUUUUGUUUUAUUGUUGCUUUUUGUAUUUAAGAUAAAAUAGGAAUGAAGUAUGUUUUGUUAUAAUGAUUAAAUUAGUAAUAUGUUAUUAUUUUUAUUUAUAAAAAGAUUUGUGAAUUAUAUUUAAUUUUUUAUUUAAUUUUGUUAAUUGAAUUCGGCAAAAUAUUUUUUGACUGUUUAGCAAAUACAUUGUUCUUUGUUAGAAUAAGGAGUAAAGUCUGUCCGCUGCUAUUAGUGAAGGACUGCAGUAUUUUGACUGUAUUAAGGUAGCAUGAUCAUUAGUUUUUUGAUUGGAAACUGGAAUGAAGGUGAAACGGGGAAUAGCUGUAAGGAUUAAUGGUAUGAAUUUUAUUAUUAUGUGAAAAAGCUUAAUUAAUUAAAAGGGACAAGAAGACCCUAAUAAGCUUUAUUUUUUGAUUUUUAUUAUUAUAUUUGGAUUAGGGAUUUAUUAGGGUUAAUAAAAAUUUAAUUGGGGCGAUUUCUUAUAAACUAAAGAAUAAAAUUUUAAUUUUUUUAAAGCGUUUUUUUGACCUAGUUAGGUUAAUUGUUGGAGAAGCUACUGUAGGGAUAACAGCGUAAUUUUUUUUGAGAGUUCUAAUUGACAAAAGAGUUUGCGACCUCGAU
rnacentral:rRNA from 1 species